AAGUCGUAACAAGGUUUCCGUAGGUGAACCUGCGGAAGGAUCAUUAACGAGUUAGGGUCUUCUAGGCCCGACCUCCCAACCCUAUGUUUAUUGAACCUCUGUUGCUUCGGCGGACCCGCCUCACGGCCGCCGGAGGACCGCUGCAAGGCGUCCUCUGGCCAGCGCCCGCCGAUGGCCAACCACUUAAAACUCUGAAUGAAUCGUGUCAUAUGUCUAAGUCUAUGAUUAAAUUAAAGCAAAACUUUCAACAACGGAUCUCUUGGUUCUG
rnacentral:misc_RNA from 1 species